rnacentral:rRNA from 1 species
GACGGGGCCGCACAAGCGGAGGAGCAUGUGGUUUAAUUCGAUGAUACGCGAGGAACCUUACCUGGGCUCGAACGUAAGAUGACUGUAGGUGAAAGCUUACAUCUCUUCGGAGCAUUUUACGAGGUGCUGCAUGGUUGUCGUCAGCUCGUGCCGUGAGGUGUCGGGUUAAGUCCCAUAACGAGCGCAACCCCUACCUUUAGUUGCCAUCAGGUAAUGCUGGGGACUCUAAGGGAACUGCCUACGCAAGUAGUGAGGAAGGCGGGGAUGACGUCAAAUCAGCACGGCCCUUACGUCCAGGGCUACACACGUGCUACAAUGGCCGAUACAGAGGGCAGCUACCUGGUGACAGGAUGCAAAUCUCCAAAGUCGGUCUCAGUUCGGAUCGGAGUCUGCAACCCGACUCCGUGAAGUUGGAUUCGCUAGUAAUCGCGCAUCAGCCAUGGCGCGGUGAAUACGUUCCCGGGCCUU